rnacentral:siRNA from 1 species
GAUGGUUCCGUGGUGCAUCUCUA